GAUGAACGCUGGCGGCGUGCCUAAUACAUGCAAGUCGAGCGAACAGAUGAGGAGCUUGCUCCUCUGACGUUAGCGGCGGACGGGUGAGUAACACGUGGAUAACCUACCUAUAAGACUGGGAUAACUUCGGGAAACCGGAGCUAAUACCGGAUAAUAUAUUGAACCGCAUGGUUCAAUAGUGAAAGACGGUUUUGCUGUCACUUAUAGAUGGAUCCGCGCCGCAUUAGCUAGUUGGUAAGGUAACGGCUUACCAAGGCAACGAUGCGUAGCCGACCUGAGAGGGUGAUCGGCCACACUGGAACUGAGACACGGUCCAGACUCCUACGGGAGGCAGCAGUAGGGAAUCUUCCGCAAUGGGCGAAAGCCUGACGGAGCAACGCCGCGUGAGUGAUGAAGGUCUUCGGAUUGUAAAACUCUGUUAUUAGGGAAGAACAAAUGUGUAAGUAACUAUGCACGUCUUGACGGUACCGAAUCAGAAAGCCACGGCUAACUACGU
rnacentral:rRNA from 1 species